rnacentral:rRNA from 1 species
GACGAACGCUGGCGGCGUGCUUAACACAUGCAAGUCGAACGGAAAGGCCCUGCUUUUGUGGGGUGCUCGAGUGGCGAACGGGUGAGUAACACGUGAGUAACCUGCCCUUGACUUUGGGAUAACUUCAGGAAACUGGGGCUAAUACCGGAUAGGAGCUCCUGCUGCAUGGUGGGGGUUGGAAAGUUUCGGCGGUUGGGGAUGGACUCGCGGCUUAUCAGCUAGUUGGUGGGGUAGUGGCUUACCCAGGCUGUGACGGGUAGCCGGCCUGAGAGGGUGACCGGCGACAUUGGGACUGAGAUAGGGACCAGACUCCUACGGGAGGCAGCAGUGGGGAAUAUUGCACAAUGGGCGGAAGCCUGAUGCAGCAACGCCGCGUGCGGGAUGACGGCCUUCGGGUUGUAAACCGCUUUCGCCUGUGACGAAGCGUGAGUGACGGUAAUGGGUAAAGAAGCACCGGCUAACUACGUG